rnacentral:rRNA from 1 species
GACGAACGCUGGCGGCGUGCUUAACACAUGCAAGUCGAACGAAGAGCGAUGGAAGCUUGCUUCUAUCAAUCUUAGUGGCGAACGGGUGAGUAACGCGUAAUCAACCUGCCCUUCAGAGGGGGACAACAGUUGGAAACGACUGCUAAUACCGCAUACGAUCUAAUCUCGGCAUCGAGGAUAGAUGAAAGGUGGCCUCUACAUGUAAGCUAUCACUGAAGGAGGGGAUUGCGUCUGAUUAGCUAGUUGGAGGGGUAACGGCCCACCAAGGCGAUGAUCAGUAGCCGGUCUGAGAGGAUGAACGGCCACAUUGGGACUGAGACACGGCCCAGACUCCUUCGGGAGGCAGCAGUGGGGAAUCUUCCGCAAUGGACGAAAGUCUGACGGAGCAACGCCGCGUGAGUGAUGACGGCCUUCGGGUUGUAAAGCUCUGUUAUUCGGGACGAAAGGCCUUCUUGCGAAUAGUGAGAAGGAUUGACGGUACCGGAAUAGAAAGCCACGGCUAACUACGUG